AGGCCUGCAGAGGCUUCGCAUUCAGAAAGGUUAUAGCUUUUUGCCCGCUUUUUUUUGCGAAGCCGGGCUACGGCUGCAGCAGUCCUUUUAGUACUUUUAGCCGGAAGUGAGCUCCACUGUGCACAGCGACACUCAGGCUGCAAUCCAUUGCAUGUCAACUCAGAAGUAAGCUCUAUUGGGACUUACUCCAAGCACAUCAGAAGCGCCUGGCUGCUGGAUCAGGCCAAAGGCAUCCUGUUCUCACAGUGGCCAACUUGAUGCCCAUUAUUUAUGGGAAGCCUGCAAGCAUGAACCUGAGCGCAAGACCACUCUCACCCUGGUUGUGAUUCCCAGAAACUGUUAUUCAGAGGCAAUCCUGAGGUAGAUGGGCUGAUGGCUGACAGCACAAAAUGACUGAAGCCUACCUUUCCCACAGCUGUUGAGCUUUCAGACUGCAGCUAUUUUGCAGGAGUCUCUUGAAGACCUUGAGAGCCAGUGCGGUGUAGUGGUUAAGGUGUUGGACUACGACCUGGGAGACCAGGGUUUGAAUCCCCACACAACCAUGAAGCUCACUGGGGGACCUUGGGCCAGUCCCUGCCUCUCAGCCUCAGAGGAAGGCAAUGGUAAACCCCCUCUGAAUACUACUUACCCAUGAAAACCCUAUUCAUACGGUUGCCAUAAGUCGGAAUCGACUUGAAGACAGUCCAUUUCAAUUUCUUGAAGACCUUUCUAUGUAGACAGGCAUAUGUAACUCUUUUAUUUUAUUUUUUGA